UGGAGCCUGCGGCUUAAUUUGACUCAACACGGGAAAUCUCACCAGGCCCGGACACCGGAAGGAUUGACAGAUUAAGAGCUCUUUCUUGAUUCGGUGGGUGGUGGUGCAUGGCCGUUCUUAGUUGGUGGAGCGAUUUGUCUGGUUAAUUCCGGUAACGAACGAGACUCUAGCCUGCUAAAUAGGCGUCGCAAUUUAGGUGUGCGCUGUCGCAACUCACUGGCGACGUAUUAAUUAUCUUCUUAGAGGGACCGGCGGCUUCGAGCCGCACGAGAUUGAGCAAUAACAGGUCUGUGAUGCCCUUAGAUGUCCUGGGCCGCACGCGCGCUACACUGAAGGAAUCAACAUGUUCUCCCUGGCCUAGAGGCCCGGGCAACCGUUUGAAACUCCUUCGUGCUGGGGAUUGGGGUUUGCAAUUAUCCCCCAUAAACGAGGAAUUCCUAGUAAGCGCGAGUCAUAAGCUCGCGUUGAUUACGUCCCUGCCCUUUGUACACACCGCCCGUCGCUACUACCGAUUGAAUGAUUUAGUGAGGUCUUCGGACCGACACGCGGUGGCUUAACGGCCGUCGGCGUCGCUGGGAAGUUGACCAAACUUGAUCAUUUAGAGGAAGUAAAAGUCGUAACAAGGUUUCCGUAGGU
rnacentral:rRNA from 1 species